UCGGGAAUUUUGGGCAAUGGGCGAAAGCCUGACCCAGCAACGCCGCGUGAAGGAUGAAGUAUUUCGGUAUGUAAACUUCGUAAGAAUAGGAGGAAUAAAUGACGGUACUAUUUGUAAGGUCCGGCUAACUACGUGCCAGCAGCCGCGGUAAUACGUAGGGACCAAGCGUUGUUCGGAUUUACUGGGCGUAAAGGGCGCGUAGGCGGUGUGUCAAGUCAGUUGUGAAAUCUCCGAGCUUAACUCGGAACGGUCAACUGAUACUGUCACACUAGAGUACAGAAGGGGCAAUCGGAAUUCUUGGUGUAGCGGUGAAAUGCGUAGAUAUCAAGAGGAACACCCGAGGCGAAGGCGGGUUGCUGGGCUGAUACUGACGCUGAGGCGCGAAAGCUAGGGUAGCAAACGGGAUUAGAUACCCCCGUAGUCCCUGAGCGGGCUGGCAAGGCGCAU
rnacentral:rRNA from 1 species